GUUGUUACCAUUAUCGAGACCACAUACUGGACUCACUGAGAGUAAUAGCUUCUCUGACAACCAAGAGGGUCUAGUUAAUCAGGUUAACCACCAAGAGGAGGAUACUCAAAGCUUAGAUAAUAUUUCGGUCUUUUCAAGAUCACCGAAAUUAAAACAACAAACUGUUUUGCAAUUGUUUGAAAAAAAUGCAAGUUAUGAUGAUGGAGGCGAGCGCCAUAUUGCAAUUACCCAAAGUUUAGUCUACAUGAUUAUUAAGGAUAAUUUACCCCUUUCUUGUGUUGAAAAAGAGGGAUUACAACAAUUUGUUCGUACAGCAUGUCCUCGGUAUAAAUUACCAUCAAGAUUUA